UCACCUCCAAUCCUAGCUAUGUUUCCCCAAUUAAACCCUAGGGUACUCUCUUCUUCGAACAGCUACUACACUUGAAUCCGAUUCAACAAUCACUGGCCUUCCAUCAUAUCGCUCGAUUUGUUGAAGAACCUCGAUAAUUCCUAAAGCUUCAGCUUCCAUGGUCAUGCGAGCUCGAACGACGCGAGUUACAGCUCCGAGGCAACUUCCAUCUUCCUUCCUCACAACCCACCCUAAACCCCAACGACCAUCACCAUUACAGUGAGCAUCCACGUUGAUUUUUAAGGUGUUUGUGGGAGGAGGACUCCCUGUUUGUUUCGUUACUACUAGUCGACGUGUUCGUGCGAACUGUGUUGCGGCCAAGCUCUGAAUUUGCUUUAUACUCCCUCAAGGUAGCGCCAGCUUGCUCCACAAAGUACAUAACAUGUUUGUCUUCUUGUUUAAAAACUAGUAGAUUUCUAGUCUUCCAAAUAUGAUAGCAUAGAGAACUUAUAAUUUCAACACACUCUUUUUCUGUAUUAGAAAUCAUUCCUUGUAACCAAUCAGUAAAAUUGUGUUCCUUUGGCCCCCAAAAUUGAUGUUUAACUAGGAAGCAAACCAAAACUGUUUUGCCCACUCACAUCCUUUAAACACAUGAUCAAUAUCCUCAAUUUUCAAAUUACAUCUUGGGCAUAGGGGAUUGCAAGUAAUCCCCCUGUUGUUUACAUUAUUGCGAACAUGUAAGGCGUUGUGGAGGAUGCGCCAGAUGAGAUGGGUGUACUUAGGGGGGAUUUUUUGCUGCCAAAUAUUAUCCUAGAUGGGGUUAUCAUCCACAAGAUUGCUAGUUGAGGGGUCCUUCUCUUUUCUCUGCCAUUCUAGCACUGCUUGAUACUCUGAUUUUACACUGUACACACCGUCCGUCGUUUUUGGCCAACUAAACACAUCAGGAUAGUUAGUGUUCACAAUAGGAAGGUUAAGGAUUUGUUGGGCUUUGAAAGUGUAGAAAAGUUUGGAUAUAAGGUUGUUAUUCCNNNNNNNNNNNNNNNNNNNNNNNNNNNNNNNNNNNNNNNNNNNNNNNNNNNNNNNNNNNNNNNNNNNNNNNNNNNNNNNNNNNNNNNNNNNNNNNNNNNNNNNNNNNNNNNNNNNNNNNNNNNNNNNNNNNNNNNNNNNNNNNNNNNNNNNNNNNNNNNNNNNNNNNNNNNNNNNNNNNNNNNNNNNNNNNNNNNNNNNNNNNNNNNNNNNNNNNNNNNNNNCUGAGUAAUACACUUCCACCCUUGUUUUGCCAAUAGGGCUUCAUUGAAGGCCCUAAUGCCUCUGAACCCUAACCCACCAGUCCUUUUAGGUUUACAUAUUUGAUCCCAUUUGACCCAAUGAAUUUUUCUCUUGUCUAAAGAGUUGCCCCACCAGAAUUUGCAAGUCAUACUUUCAAUGUGUUUGCAUAAAUUUUUUGGUAAUAGGAAGCAACUCAUGAUAUACGUAGGGGUUGCUUAGGCUACCGCUUUAAUGAGGGUGCUCCUGCCAGCAAAAGAUAAAUGUCUUCGCAUUUGAGUGGGCAUUCAUAGAUAUUUAGAGAAAUGAGAAACCCUCUUCAUACGAAGGAUAGUAUGGAUAAUAGCUUUCAUAGGCUGAGGUGUGUGUUUACUGAACAUAAGCUUUGAUUUUUCCAUAUUAACGAGUUGGCCAAAUGCUUUUUGGUAUUCUGAAAUAAUAUCUUUUAUAGUUUGGGCUUCUUUUUUAUUAGCCCUGAAAAAAAACAACUGUCAUCAGCAAACAAUAGGUGACUAACCUCAGGGGCACCAUGAGCAAUUUUAAUGCCAUGGAGCUUUUGCUGAUGUUGAGCUUUGGAAAUCAAAUCAGAUAAAACAUUUGCACAAAGAAUGAAUAAGUAUGCAGAUAAGGGGUCUCCUUGUCUGAGACUCCUUUGAGGAGUAAAAGGUUGGGAAGGUGUUCUGUUUAUCAAAAUGGAGAAAGAAACAUUGGAUACACAAUCCAUAAUAGUAUCAGUGAGAUGGUGAGGAAAACUCAUAGCUUCCAUGGUGGCUUGGAGAAACUUCCACUCAACUCUAUCAUAUGCUUUUGUCAUGUUUGUCUUGAAAUGGUGAAACCCCUUUUGCUAGUACUUUGGUUGAAAUGGUGAAAAACCUCAUAGGCCACCAAAGUGUUGUCGGGGAUAAGUCUGCCAGGAACAAACGCACUCUGAUUUAGGCUAAUGACUUUCGGAAGAUUAGUUUUGAGUCUAUUAGCAAUAGUUUUUCGUUAUAAUUUUUAGCGUAACAUUGCAUAAAGAGAUGAGUCUGAAGUCACUAGGAUAGGUAGGAUUCUUAAUUUUGAGUAUGAGGCAAAUAUGAGUGUGAUUAUAAGGUUUUGAGCUCCCUUUAUGAUUAAGCACCUGAAGUACAGUCUCAGUUACCUCUUGUCCCACGAUGUCCCAAUAAGUGUGGUAAAAGAGGGCAGGAAGCCCAUCCGGGCCGGGGGCAGCUAGGCCUUUCAUGUCUUUUAUGGCACUACCCACUUCUUCCUUUGUAAACUCAGCGUCAAGAUAGUGGUACAUAUCCUCAUUAAUGCAGUUUUUGACAACCUCCACAGUUUCAGGUAUGUGCAUGGUAUUUUGAGAGUUAAAUAAAUCCUUGAGGUGGUUGGUAAGGGUUUCAGCAAUCUUCUCAUACUCAGUAUGUAUACUACCUUGUCUGUCAGUGAUUGCUUCAAUUUUAUUCUUUUUUCUUCUUUGGGAAGCCUUUUGGUGAAAAUAACUAGUAUUCUUAUCCCCGUGCUUCAGCCACAUGGCUCUAGAUCUUUGGUUCCACCACAUCUCCUCGCAAUGGAGGAGGUCAUCAAUCUCUUUUUCCUUACUUUUGACAAGAUGCAUCAUGUCACCCUGAUUAUUUUGAUCAUUAAUAAUCUAUAAAUCCUCUUAGGCCUCUUUGAUUUUUUUCAGGAUUAUGCCAAACUUGUUUUUUCCCCAACUAUGCAGGUUAGACAAAGUAAACUCAAGUUUAUUUUGAAGUUUUAAAUUUUGUAGUUGCCAAGCCUCUUUAACAAUUUGAAUAUGUUCUUCAUCUUUGAGCCACAUCUGUUCAUAUAUUUUGCAAUAUGAGUUGCUCUGAAGUUGCCUGUCAGUGUUAAAAGUAGAGAAAUCUAGUAAAAUAGGGCAAUAGUCAGAUCUGUAUCUCAGUAAAUGCGAAUUUUGAUAGUGAGAGAAAUUGUAGGUCCAGUCAUUUGAGGCACAAAAUCUAUCCAAUCUAGCUUGGAUAUAAUGAGACCCAUGUUGUCUAUUGUGCCAAGUAAAUUUUGCCCCUUUAAACCCAAGGUCAGUUAAAUUGCAUUUGUCCAAAGAGUCCAUAAAAGCAUUAGUUAUACUAUAAUCAAUAGGAUUUCCUCCUAACUUUUCAUUAGAGUUAAGAACAAUGUUAAAGUCACCAAAAAUCAACCAAUUAUUAUUUUCAUGAGUGGUACGUAGCCAAAUUAGUAAUCAAAUCACAAGUAAGUAAUUUAUGAGUAUUAAUAGGGAAUCCGUAAAUACCAGUAGUGCGCCAAUGCAUGUUAUGAGAAUGGAUAAUUCAAUCAAUAUAGUUCAAAUCAUAGUCAAUUAUAUUCAAAUCCAAAUUACAAUUUUUUCAAAGUAAAGCCAGACCACCAGCUCUACAUCCACCAGUGGUGGAACAAUCAACAAUUUUAAAACAGUAAUAAAGAGCAAAAUUUUGCAAAAAACUAGGACAAGUAAUUAGCUGUUUAGUUUCCAUCAAGAACACAACAUCUGGCUGGUGUUUCACAAUGAGCUUUUUUAAUGCUCUACCUGUCCUCGGGUUGCCACACCCUUGACAGUUCCAAGAUAGGAUUCUCAUGUUGAUUGCCUGGCCUGCCCUACAGGUCCUGCCAUUUAUAUUGUUUUGAUGUCCUCCAUUCUUGGUCUUUUUAACUAGGGGUUGAGUUCAGCCAUGGUGGGAGCCUCUAUUGGUUCCAUGGAUUCAUAGUUGUUUCUGGUUGUUCUGUGCCAAGUUCCAAUGUCAUCUCUAGUUUGAGUAGUUGGUGUAGCAUUGUUAGUUUUUUUUUUUUGAGGAUUUAGAGCCCUCUUCUGAUGCUUCUUCUUGUAUUUUCAUUGCCUCCAUUUGGGCCAACAUGCUAGCAGAAAUAGGUGGACUAUACUGUCCAAAAGUCCUUGAGAGUGAUGGGUUGUUGUGAUAUUUCCUAUCUUUCUCCUCCAUAACCCUUCUGCCAUACUGAUUUGAUCUAAUCCAUGGCCCUAAUGGUGCAGCAUCCUCCAUGUUUAGGGGCACAUUCUGACAGAGGUUUUCACCAUGUCCUAUAAGAUUCCGCAUUUGAAGCAAAUUUGGGGCAACUUUUCAUACCUGAAAUCAAUCCAUGUAGUGCCAUCUUUGUGGUUGCCAAUUAGGAUCCCUGUUUGAAUAGGCCGCUCAUGGACAUUUGUUGCAACUUUUAUCUUGAUUAUCAUUUUCUUGCCAGGAUAUUCAUAAAACUCUGCAGUUUCUACUUUGCCCAACAAGUUUCCAAUGCUUUCCCCCAUUUUCUUUAUCUUUGCAGUGAGGGGGUAAUUCCCAAAAUUGAAUCCACACAUGUGCAUGAGAAAAAUCUACUAUUUUGGGAUUUGUUUGUCUAUCCCACCCCUUGAAACAAACAUUAAAGAAAUUUUGAGUUCAAUUUCUCAAAUUUUGGAUCCAAUCCAAAGUUUUUAUUUUUUGUUAUUAUAUGAUGUUUUUGUUAAAAAAAAUAAUAUAUUAUUAUGCAAUAUAUUUAUAUUAACUUUUUAGAUUAAGAAGAUGGAUCUGUACUAAUUGUAAAUUAACAAAAAUUAAUCUACUGCAUAAAGUGACAAUGCCGUUGUAAUUUGGGAGUUAAGUGGCAACUUGUGAGAGGUGAUGUAAAUAGAAAAUAAUGAAGUCAAAAAUUUUAAAGAAAAAACAACAAGAAAGGUCAAAUAAGGGUUCAAAUUUUCAAACAUUUCAUUUUUGGAAAAUUUGUGGCAAGGUACUUUAACUUAAUCUUUUAUUUUUCUUAAGGAUUAACUUAAUCGUUUAUGUUAUGCUAUUAAAUUUAAAUGUGUAAUAAUGUUAUAUCGUUCUAAGACAAGCUAGUUUUGUUCUACCGAUGAGUGUCGUGAUAAUUAUUUAACUUUUUUUUAUAGACAUGAGGGCCUAAGCCCGAGAUAAUUAUUUAACUUUUUUUUUACUAAAAUAAAAGAUAUUCAUCCAUUCAAAUUGAUGGAGUACAUCAGAUUCAAGUACAAAUUCAAUACCGCUAAAAAUGAAAAAGAUAAAUCUGCGAACAAAUUCACAGCAUCCAAGUUAAUAGCAUAAAAUGACAUACUCAUGCCUACAAAUGGUGUAAUAAAACCAAAGUAACCGGAAUAUCUAUUUCUCCGGAAGUUUGUCGUUGAUGAACUUAAUCACAGUGUGAAUCAGUAGUUGACCGAGGUUGAUCUGCCAAUUCAAUCAAACGAACAUCGCAACAAGACAGGAAAGAAAAACCGCACAAAGACUGGACGCCGAAAUCACAAAAAAAGCACACAAAAGAAAAUUUUAAUCUAUGUGAAAACCACUUAUUUAGAUUAAAGCAAAUAUAAAAAUAUGCAUAGGGAUGAUUUUGGAUCAAAAAAAGACCCAAAAUCACCCCUUUUUUAUGAAAGAAGAUGAAAAAAACUUAGAGAGAAUGAAUAGCUUGUCUCUCUAAAAUUAGGGCCGACAACACUAUUUAACUUAGUAAAUGAGAAAUUGUUGAUUCACAUAAUUGUUCGUGAGACUUGAUUGAAGAGUCAAUAAAUGCGUUGGAUUAUGAUGAAUAACAUUCAAUUUUUUCCAUUGAUUUAAGUAAAUAAUACAUGAGCCAUAAUCAUGAAACCUCAAUAUAUAUACAACAGAAAGUUAUAAUAUAUUACAAAAUUAAAACAUAUAAUUACGAUUGCAACAUCAAAUUUAUAGCAAAUGGAAAACAUGUGAGUUUAUAACAUUUAAAAAAGACAAUUUUUAAAAAAAUGAAAAAUGAAGUAGAUGAAUUCACCUCAAAUGAAAAUAUAGCUUAAAAAUAGAUUAUGAAGAUUGAUAUCGAUGAGAUGAAGGAAAAGGAAGCUUGCAACAACGAAAAAUGGCGGGAAACAAAUUUUUUCUCUGAAAAAGUAACUUAGUGUGAGAUGUAAUUGUUCUGUUUCUCUCUUUUAUACUAAUUUAUCAAUUUUACUAUUAUAAUAAUCUAACGUAAUGGUAGUUAUUAUUUUUAUUUCUUUUAAUGUGUUGUGUCACUUUUUAAUUGGUCAGGACCAAAUAUCAAUUUAUGGUCACGUGAUCACUUAAGAUUAUCUCCCAAAUCUCUCAUUGAACUUGAAUGGUUUCCACCUUUCUUACUAAAACACUUUAAGACUAUAUGCAAUGGGGUAGUUGAAAAAAAUUUCAACUAUUUAAUAUAUGCAAUGAGUAGUUGAAUAGAGAGUUGAAAUACAAUUGGAUAAAUUGGGGUUGAAUAUUUUCAACCGUUGAAGAAGCAAGUGGCUGAGGGAGGGAGUGGGUCCCUUCCUCCACUUGGCAACAUAUUAUUAGUUGUUGUGAUUUCUAGAUUUUUAUUUCAUCCUUAUCAUUUGGGAUCAAUUAUUUCGUAGUAAAUUAUUUUUUUUCACCAAAAUCAUCUUCUUCUUUUUUGUAUUUAAAUAGAGACUGGGUUUGUUUCAUUUGGACACAAAAAAAAUGAAUUUUUCCUUCUAAUUUUUCUAUUUGGCCUUCAAUAAACUCUUGUUUGUAGCUCUAAAUAUCUUUUUAGUGAAAUUGAUCCCAACAAUAACCUUUUUAACACCCAAAAUUCUAACAAUUACUCUUUCAAUUUCAAUUACCCAAUAGAUCAAUGAUGCCUUAUUCAUCUCAGACACUCCCUUAUUAUUCUUCUACUCUAGUGGGAAAUGAAAAUGUUUCGAAUGUUGGACUUGAUGAAAUUCCUGAAUUUUCAACACAAAUGACUUUUGGUGGCAUGAGCGGUGGUCAUGAAGCCACCCCAAAUGCAAAGGAUUCAAAUUCUGCUCGUCGAAAAAACCCCAAUUGGACCACUGAUCAAAAUUUGGUUCUAAUUAGCGGGUGGAUUAAAUAUGGAACAAACAGUGUUGUUAGGAGAAAAUUGUUUUAAUAAUGACUAUCCCUAUAUUCCAUCUUUAAUUAUUUAACUCUUAAUUAUUUUAAUUUAAUUUCAAUCGAUAAUUGUUAUUAAUAUAUAAUCACAAAAACAAAAACAUAAAAGAAAAUAAAAAUAUGAAAUAAAAGUGGUGUAGUAAGUAAAAGUUGAAUGUGUGCUGAAUUAUUAGAUGAAAAUGAGAAAAUAUGAUGUGAAGUGUAAAAAGUGAAAAAAAUGGGCGUUGAGAAUUUAAACCAUUGUACAUAGUCUAUGAGAGUUCAUAAAAAUGAAGUUAGUUGGUCCUCAUAUCAUAUUUGGAACCUUUCAUAUGGUCACUUCCCAAUCCAUGUGACAUUUUUUUUGUGAAGCAGAAUUUUUUUGUUAAGUAGACUAGUGGCGAUGUCCUUACUAACUGAUUUAAAUUCACGGGGACCAACCCAUGUGACAUUUAUUCGACACCUAAAAUUAUCUUCCAUUUUAAUUUUUUUAUUUCAAACCGGAGGAAAAGUGAAAAACUGUGUAUCUAGUUCAAACCGGAUGAAUUUCGAAAACCCACGGAACGUAAACCGGGAUGAGAACCGCCCGGUCCAUAAAUAAAUAAACCGGGUCAUGAGAAUCUGCCAAUUGUUUUUACGUUUUCCCCCGAUAAAACGUAUAUCAAAUUCAAAUUUGAGUACACUCCGCCACCGCCGUUCACGUCCGGCCAAGCCACUCCACCGUUCAGUUUCUCCGUUUCGCGAUUCCGAUUUUUUAGGUCAUUUCAGGUUUGUCCAUUGAUCCUUCUCUUCGCUAUUCCGUUUCUCUCUUUUCUAUCUGCUUCGAACAGAUUCGUCAAAUGGUUCCAUUGAUCCUCCAUCUUCUACUUUUGUCUUUCAUUUGUAUCUUUAUUUCUGGCUAAGUUGUUUCUUUUGUUUCUCACUUUGAUUUUCAUUGUUUCUUUUUUAUUAAUUAUUAUUGAUGAAUCUCAGUUCCUGUUGAAUUAAUUGGAUAAGUUGCUCUUGAAUAAUUUUGUUUUGUUAGUUCAAGUUGGUGUUUGCAUGUACUAUCAAUUUUAUUUAUUUGUUAGUUGAUUUAGUUCAAAUUGCUCUCCAAUGGAGUUUGUGAUCUUUCUGUGGUACUUGUUCUUCCCAUGAGUAUUUAUUUUUUUUAAUAUUUAAUUACUAUUGAGUUUAAAGGAUGCACACCGUCAGUGUAACUUAAUUUUACACUGACAACCAAUAAGAAUGAUUUAAUCUUCCAUGUCAUAUCGAGAAAGUGGGGUGAAGUGGAGUUUAUGGUGUAAAAUUAGUUUACACUGACGGUACAUAUUUCUUUUCUCAUUACUAUUUGUGUUGUGCUUUAAUGCUUUUACAUUACUUAUCAUCUGAUUCAACCGUAGUGGUUUAGCCUAUUCACCUAAUUGAACCAUGAUCCGGAGGUCUUACUGGCUUGACCACUGAUCUGGUUUUUAACAAUCCAGUUUUCAAAAUAUUUUGUCUUCAAAUUAGGGUAAAACAACUGAACUUUCCGACNNN
rnacentral:lncRNA from 1 species